CUGGAGCCUCCAGGCCAAUCCUGGAGAUUUGGCAACUGAAGAGCCCCCCACCCACGCUGAACGAGUCUGGGGUGACCAGACAGCACGUGUGAAAAAUCAGGAGCAGGGUGGAGGGGGUAAUAGGAGCCUAUAUAAGAAAAAGACCCCAAAAUCAGAAUUGUCCCCAUAAAAUCAGGAUCUCUGAUCACCCUAAACCAGCCUGAGACCACCCAGAGCUGUGAUGACUGAAGCAUGGCGGCUGUGGGCAGAGGCAUAACUUACGCACGAGCGGGCUAUGCAGGGGGUCUGCUACAGCAGCUACUAUGAUACAGAAAUUUAGUCCUCAUCACUGCAACACUUAUCGAGACCCUCCUCCCAAAGCAAAGCUUGGAAGAACCAUUAGCUACAGGAACUUAAACUGGCAGCUGCCCAUGAAGGUGGCAGACUUGUAGCAUGUGAGCAGCCACACUGGGGAAGCAGCAGUUGAAAUGGUUUAGCACAGAACUGGUGAAGAUCCCGAUGGCCAUGCAUGAGACAGAGUGCCCAGAAGACAGGCACACAAAAAUAGCACCUGCAGCACAGAGCAACACAGCCCUUUGGGAUAUUCUACAGCAGGGAGAGCUGGAAGGAAGGCAGGCCCAGUCAACCUCUCUGGUUGCAUAGACAUGGGAAGAAGAAAAGCGGUGGUUUCUUUCACUGCCCACAGCACCGUGGCUACUCCCGUUUGAACAACCUUCAGCCCAAAUGACCCUCCCAAGAAAAUCAACCACCAGAUCCUGAUAUCAGCAGAAACCUAGGAGAAGCUUGUAUUCUAAGUCCUCACAGAAAUGCAAUGAAAUAUUACUUGGGAGACCUCACAGAAGCAGCUUCUUUCUGACUCCCUAAUGCUAUGAGUAACCUUGGUAAGGCCAAAAUAAGUCAAAAUUCAUCUCAAGGCAAGUCCAAUAACCUCAGUGGAGUUAUGCUAGGAAUGAAUUUGACACACUCAGGACAGGGAAAGGAGGAAUUCUAAUUGCAUGCAUAUUUUUAUUAGAUAUAUUUUAUCUAAGAGACCCUACGCCUCAGGCCGAUGGGAGGUAGGAGCAUCAUAAAGAAUGAGACAGGCUGCACCACCUCCGAAUACCAUAGCAGCCAGCCACAAAGCAGCACUUUAGCUUGUCAAGAGCUUGUUUCCUUCUUGACUGCAGGUUUUGUGCAGAGAUUCAAAUGCAGAUAUUUGGGGAGUGGGAAUCAAAGAGAAAGAAGAGAUGGGUAGAAAAAAAUACGCCCCACACACCACGCUGACUGAUUAGCCUAGUAUCCUACAUCAUUGUCUUUGGGGAGGUAAUAUCCUAUACUACACAAGAUGCUAAAGUGACCAGCCGGGGGAACUUCCAUUCUUGGGGGAAUCCCAAUUCUAAACCUUUUGGUAAUUCAAAGCAGAUGGGAAAACUGAACCUGAUGCAGAUAAAGCUCACCUUUCUGCCAGCCUAAUUCAUUUCCAGUUUAUGUGGAGGUGUUUCCAUUAUGUACAAGGCAGGAUGAGAAUGUGUAAGGAUCUUGGGGCCUGGUUUUCUCAAACCAUGGCUGGGAGACAGCUUGAAUCCCUUUCAUUCUCUAAUUCUUAUUAGUGCCACUUGGGGUCUUCCCGGCCAAUAGAACAGCUUGUGCUGCUGCUACAGAGUUUCCCAGUAUUGUGCCAGAGUGAGACUCAUCCCAGAGGGAGAGCAGACUCCUGAACUGGCCCUCGUGCCCCAUAAGAGGAACUACACCUCUGCAGGCCGCUCCCCACUCUGUACUAAAAUAGGGAUAUCAUUCUCCAAGAAUUAGCGCCUGCCGUUGGAAUUUACUAAUAUAUCUACAUAAAGUACCAAUUACACUCUUAACCAAAGGGAACAGUCAUGGACCAUUAU